GAGUUUACAACUCCCAAACCCAAUGUGAACGUUACCAAACUGUUGCCUCGGCGGGGUCACGCCCCGGGUGCGUAAAAGCCCCGGAACCAGGCGCCCGCCGGAGGAACCAACCAAACUCUUUCUGUAGUCCCCUCGCGGACGUAUUUCUUACAGCUCUGAGCAAAAAUUCAAAAUGAAUCAAAACUUUCAACAACGGAUCUCUUGGUUCUGGCAUCGAUGAAGAACGCAGCGAAAUGCGAUAAGUAAUGUGAAUUGCAGAAUUCAGUGAAUCAUCGAAUCUUUGAACGCACAUUGCGCCCGCCAGUAUUCUGGCGGGCAUGCCUGUCCGAGCGUCAUUUCAACCCUCGAACCCCUCCGGGGGAUCGGCGUUGGGGAUCGGGACCCCUCACCGGGUGCCGGCCCUGAAAUACAGUGGCGGUCUCGCCGCAGCCUCUCCUGCGCAGUAGUUUGCACAACUCGCACCGGGAGCGCGGCGCGUCCACGUCCGUAAAACACCCAACUUCUGAAAUGUUGACCUCGGAUCAGGUAGGAAUACCCGCUGAACUUAAGCAUAUCAAUAAGCGGAAG
rnacentral:rRNA from 1 species